UGGCUCCCUCGGUUUCUGUCUGAGAAGCAGUUUUAUUUUUUUGUUGUUUUAAAACAUUAUGAACACGAACUUUGUAGCUCUCAAAUUCGGAUGUAACAGAUGCCUGUUCGGCCUGUGCUGCUCUACAUUCUUCUCUCAAAGUUGCAAUUUUUUGCUGGUAAGCAUUCAAUGUACGCUGGUGCUGCUCCGAAGAAGUUCGUAGAUGUUCCUGGACUUUAUGCUUUUCUGACGUUAGUGCAGCUACUUGAAUCUUAAAGGCUUCCACUUGUUGCUGACUGGCUUCCAGUUCUCCUUUUAAUGAUGCCUGUAACAUCAGGUGGUCAUUUUCAGCUCGUUUUGAAUCAGCCAAUUCUUUUUUGGUUUUCACCAGGAGUUGUUUUAUCUUGGCAUUUCUUUCCUCGUCCUCUUGCAUCGUUGACUGAAGUGACUUUAUUUCUUCCUGUAGGGUCUCUUGCUUUUGUUUCUGAAUCCCCGUCUCUUGCUCAAGAUCUUCUAUUCUACUAUCUUUAUCAGUAAUCUUCUGAUUAAGUUCUUUUACCAGCUUUUCAUAAUCUGCUAUUUCCAUAUCCAU
rnacentral:lncRNA from 1 species